rnacentral:pre_miRNA from 1 species
CUGAUACUCCCUCCAUUCUAAAAUUCUUGUCUUAGAUUUGCAUAAGUAUGAAUGUAUCUAGUCAUGUUUUAGUAUUUAGAUACAUUCAUUUCUAAACAAACCUAAGACAAGAAUUUUAAUUCUAUGACAGAGGGAGUAGAAU